AACAUGUCCUUUGGGAGUAAAUGUAAGGUCAGGUCUGCUCGAUGUUUACAUCAAUAGCCGCAGUACUUUGACUGUGCGAAGGUAGCAUGAUAAAUUGCCCUUUAAUUGGGGGAAGGUACGAAUGACUAGACGAGGGGAAAACUGUCUCUUUGACAGGUAGGAAAAAUUGGACUUUGGGUUAAAAUCCCCAAAUUUGGUGGAGGGACGAAAAGACCCUAGGAUCUUCUCUUACUUGUUAAGUAAGUUUGCUUGGGAUGAGACACACAAUUUACAAACUGUUGAUAAAUUGACAGAAUCACCUUUCUGAUUGGUGAACCCCUAAAAGGGAAAAAUGGGAAAAGUUACCCUAGGGAUAACAGCAGGAUACUGACUUUGGAGACCAAAUUUGAAGUCAGGUUUCUGACCUCGAUGUUGAAUUAAGAUUUCAUCCAGAGGGAGAAAGUUGGAUAGUGGGAUUGUUCAUCCCUCAAAAUCUUACGUGAUCUGA
rnacentral:rRNA from 1 species